rnacentral:rRNA from 1 species
UACGUAGGGGGCAAGCGUUAUCCGGAUUUACUGGGUGUAAAGGGAGCGUAGACGGCAGUGCAAGUCUGAAGUGAAAGCCCGUGGCUCAACCGCGGAACUGCUUUGGAAACUGUACGGCUGGAGUACCGGAGAGGUAAGCGGAAUUCCUAGUGUAGCGGUGAAAUGCGUAGAUAUUAGGAGGAACACCAGUGGCGAAGGCGGCUUACUGGACGGUAACUGACGUUGAGGCUCGAAAGCGUGGGGAGCAA